UGAGCAAUCUGCCCUUGGGUUCGGGAUAACAGUUGGAAACGACUGCUAAUACCGGAUGAUGACUUCGGUCCAAAGAUUUAUCGCCCAGGGAUGAGCCCGCGUCGGAUUAGCUAGUUGGUGGGGUAAAGGCCUACCAAGGCAACGAUCCGUAGCUGGUCUGAGAGGAUGAUCAGCCACACUGGGACUGAGACACGGCCCAGACUCCUACGGGAGGCAG
rnacentral:rRNA from 1 species